UUCCAGUCUCCCCUACCGCACUCAAGCCCGCCCGUACCCGGCGCGGAUCCACCGUUAAGCGAUGGACUUUCACACCGGACGCGACGAACCGCCUACGAGCCCUUUACGCCCAAUAAUUCCGGAUAACGCUUGCACCCUACGUAUUACCGCGGCUGCUGGCACGUAGUUAGCCGGUGCUUAUUCGAAAGGUACACUCACCCCGAAGGGCUUGCUCCCAGUCAAAAGCGGUUUACAACCCGAAGGCCGUCAUCCCGCACGCGGCGUCGCUGCAUCAGGCUUGCGCCCAUUGUGCAAUAUUCCCCACUGCUGCCUCCCGUAGGAGUCUGGGCCGUAUCUCAGUCCCAAUGUGGCCGGUCGCCCUCUCAGGCCGGCUACCCGUCGUAGGCUCGGUGGGCCGUUACCCCGCCGACUACCUGAUAGGACGCGACCCCAUCCCAUACCGAUGAAUCUUUCCCAACAC
rnacentral:rRNA from 1 species